GCAGAAUUUUCUUUUGGUUUCUUUUGGCCCACUUGGAGGCCCACCAAGCAGCGUGCUACACAAGGACAGUAAUACUCUUUGAUCUGAUAAAAAUACAUCCACAAUAGUUUUUGGAUUUGAACAGUGAACUUUCAAACCAUUAGGUGUCCCUUAGGGAGAGGAUUAGAUUUUUGGCCAAAAUAGUUGUAUGACAUCUUAUACAAUAGUCAGUCUUCCUCACUGUUCAACUUGAAUGGUUCAUUUCUUGUAUUUGUGUUCUUCUUGGAUGUAGCUUGAGGGUUGGGUUCGGGUUA
rnacentral:misc_RNA from 1 species